rnacentral:rRNA from 1 species
GCAGCCGCGGUAAUACGGAGGAUGCGAGCGUUAUCCGGAUUUAUUGGGUUUAAAGGGAGCGUAGGUGGUCUGUUAAGCCAGCUGUGAAAUACUGUAGCUCAACUACAGCCGUGCAGUUGGAACUGGCAGACUUGAGUGCACUAGAGGAAGGUGGAAUUCGUGGUGUAGCGGUGAAAUGUUUAGAUAUCACGAAGAACUCCGAUUGCGAAGGCAGCCUUCUGGAGUGUAACUGACACUGAGGCUCGAAAGUGUGGGUAUCGAACAGGAUUAGAUACCCC